rnacentral:rRNA from 1 species
UACGUAGGGUGCGAGCGUUAAUCGGAAUUACUGGGCGUAAAGCGUGCGCAGGCGGUUCGUUGUGUCGGCGGUGAAAGCCCCGGGCUUAACCUGGGAAUGGCCGUUGAAACUGGCGAACUGGAGUGUGGCAGAGGGGGGGUGGAAUUCCGCGUGUAGCAGUGAAAUGCGUAGAUAUGCGGAGGAACACCGAUGGCGAAGGCAAUCCCCUGGACCUGUACUGACGCUCAUGCACGAAAGGCGUGGGGAGCAAACGAGG